UACGUAGGGGGCCAGCGUUGUCCGGAAUUAUUGGGCGUAAAGAGCUUGUAGGCGGUUUGUCGCGUCUGCUGUGAAAAUCCGGGGCUCAACCCCGGACUUGCAGUGGGUACGGGCAGACUAGAGUGUGGUAGGGGAGACUGGAAUUCCUGGUGUAGCGGUGGAAUGCGCAGAUAUCAGGAAGAACACCCGUGGCGAAGGCGGCUCUCUGGGACGGUACUGACGCUGAGACGCGAAAGCGUGGGGAGCGAACAGG
rnacentral:rRNA from 1 species